GCCCUUAGAGUUUGAUCCUGGCUCAGGACGAACGCUGGCGGCGUGCCUAACACAUGCAAGUCGAACGGAGAUUUGAGAGCUUGCUUUCAAAUCUUAGUGGCGGACGGGUGAGUAACGCGUGAGUAACCUGCCUCUCAGAGGGGGAUAACGUCUUGAAAAGGACGCUAAUACCGCAUGAUAUCUUUAUUUCGCAUGGAGUAGAGAUCAAAGGAGCAAUCCGCUGAGAGAUGGACUCGCGUCCGAUUAGCCAGUUGGCGGGGUAACGGCCCACCAAAGCGACGAUCGGUAGCCGGACUGAGAGGUUGAACGGCCACAUUGGGACUGAGACACGGCCCAGACUCCUACGGGAGGCAGCAGUGGGGGAUAUUGCACAAUGGGGGAAACCCUGAUGCAGCAACGCCGCGUGAAGGAAGAAGGUCUUCGGAUUGUAAACUUUUGUCCUCAGUGAAGAUAAUGACGGUAGCUGAGGAGGAAGCUCCGGCUAACUACGUGCCAGCAGCCGCGGUAAUACGUAGGGAGCGAGCGUUGUCCGGAUUUACUGGGUGUAAAGGGUGCGUAGGCGGACUGGCAAGUCAGUGGUGAAAACUAUGGGCUUAACCCAUAGACUGCCAUUGAAACUGUUGGUCUUGAGUGAAGUAGAGGUAGGCGGAAUUCCCGGUGUAGCGGUGAAAUGCGUAGAGAUCGGGAGGAACACCAGUGGCGAAGGCGGCCUACUGGGCUUUAACUGACGCUGGGGCACGAAAGUGUGGGUAGCAAACAGGAUUAGAUACCCUGGUAGUCCACACCGUAAACGAUGAUUACUAGGUGUGGGGGGUCUGACCCCCUCCGUGCCGGAGUUAACACAAUAAGUAAUCCACCUG
rnacentral:rRNA from 1 species